AAACCAGGACAGUGACAGGGAGCUGAGGUCAGUGGGAAAAGAAGAUGAAGAACCAUAAAUGACACGAAGAGGCUUCAAAUCUUCAAAUGACUCAACCUCUGCCUCAAAUACAAACGACGUGGAGCUUGGCCGUCUUCUUGGACGAUCCAGAUGCUUCGUAAAUGGUUCCAUCCAGAUCCACAGACAUGGUGAAGACCGGAGCGUGAACCGGGCCCGACUGAGACAGCAGGCGAUACUGAAGCCCCGGCCGGAUCUGGUUCAGCCGCAUCAGGGCGUUCAUUGGCUGGUUGGAGUCUAUGGCUUUGCUGUCCAAGACUAAUGCAGAGAAAAAUGAAGGGUUGCAGUAAAAAGCAGAGCAGACUAGGGUUGAUUGAGUAAGGGUUUACUGGGGGUGUAUCAAUUAUCCAGCUGUAGUUGGACAAACUGGGCCCAUUUCAGAGAUGGUGUUUGCAAUAAAUCCCAUUUAGCAGGUUUUUAGGACUGACUAGUUUUCAUGAUGAAUAAAGGUGCCAGUUUAUUUUACUUUCUCCUUCAAUCUUGUUUCUCCCGUUUGUCAAUAUCUAAAAAUGCCUUUCUGCUUCCAUUAGUCGUGGUUCAUCUUCUCCUUGUAUGAAGAAAGAGCUGGAGAUGAUUGGGUGGCCUACUAAAAAGCAACCAAUCGAUAAUAUUGAGCUGCCUCCGAGGAACUGAAGGAGAGUGGAGAGCAGAGAACCAGACGGGGGGGAAAAGACACAGAAUGGAGACAACUGGAGUGCGGUGCUGCUAUGUACUUGAGUCUGAAUACAAAAAAAUAAAGACAAUCCAACACUAAAUGAAACUUGUAUAAGAUGAUUCCUCUUCAUCUUCUUAAUGAGGUCCUUGUCGUCCAUAAAUCCAUCCUCGUAUGGCCUCUUCAGACCCAAGCCUGAGAGCGAGAGAGAGAGAGACGUGUCACUAAUCAAUCACUUUCUACAAGAGGAUGUUUAUAUGAACGCACACAAAGGCUCUUGUGUGUGUGACAGAAAUGCAUGGGGCGGGGCAUAACAUCGCAGAAAACAAACCAUACAGGAGCACAAGCGUAAAGAUGGAUCAAUUCACAGAUGAGACAAACAGAAGAGGCAGAGCAGCAAACCUCGAGGAAGACGUGUAAGCUCCUUUCCUACACGCAGCCUAAUCUUUAAAUGCUUUGGCAACUUUCCAUGUUGGUGUCAGGAGAACCGAAAGGCCUGAGAUGGGUUGUUUUUCUCCAUGAAAGUCACUUUGAAAAUUUGCCAACUCUUGAGUCUCUCGACUGCAAACCGAGGCAAAAACAAUCCUGCGUAGAAGCAUGGUCCACUGAAGACACUGUGACAUAGACUGUUUAUAAAGAUGGACAGUGCGUCUAAUAUUUCUAAUAUUCCUAUUAUUAAUAUAACCCACAUACACGUGCUACCAUCUUUUGAAGUCAUUUGGAGCCACAGUCUGUGCCGUAGUGAUCGGUGGAUGGAGCUGUGCUAUUGAUGUACCACCUGUUUUACAUUUUGCAUUUUACAUUUUGCAUUUUACAUUUACUUUACUUUUUAUAUCUUUUUAUUUUAUAUUUGUUUUUUUCUUAUGUAAAGUACUUAUUGUGUUUUUAUGUUUUAUGUUCAUUGUAUGCACCUAUAUACCAAGGCCAAUUCCAGGUAGGUGUAAACCUACUUGGCAAUAAAUACCUUUGAUUCUGAUAAAAGCACUUCAUCCAUGA